GUAAACACCUAUCUCAAGUGCAAUUGUACUUUUCCCAUUGAAGUUGUCAUGAGUGCCCGCAAUGGUUUAAGCCACAUUCAUUGCAUUAUUGGCCAAUUAUAUUUACUGUUCUUCAAUGAGGGACGUAAUGAAUGGCCAAUGCUCAGUCACUCAUCUCUGAAUAGAAUACCGGUUACCAGGGAUACCGAGAGAGGAGAGAGGUAUUUUGAAUGACGUCAAUAUGCAUUGAUACUCUAUUAUCGACAAUAAUGACUUCCCCGGGACCAUACGCGCAUGAUAAGAGGUCUAUUCUGAAGUAGGACGAGGAGGUGCUCGUGCUGAGGAAAAGUUACAGUCUUGUCCCAUCACUGCAACUCCCAUACGGACUCGGGAGAGGUGAAGGUCGUGAGCCAUGUGUCCUCCGAAACACAACCCAGCCAAG
rnacentral:lncRNA from 1 species